GUUUUUCAUAAUACCUAACAACUUUUAACACAUGAGAAAAAAAACCAAGUCAGUAAAGAGGAAAGAUUUCUGACAGCCAAAACCUCUGGAUUUCAGAGACAAGUUUUGAUUUAGGGUAUGAUUGGUUGGGCUGUAGAAAAUUUUUAUAGCCACUAAAAAGGUUACAGCCUUAAAAUUGAAACAAUCAUGCGGUAGCUUUCCUAUUUUUUCUCACAGCCCAAAUAAUAUUUUUUUAAUUAUUUUGGCUGUAAGUACAAGUUUUUCUAAAGCACAAGUUUAUGGUCUUUAGAAAGUCUGUACAUUUUUCUUAUUUUCUUUUCAUUUUUUUUUUUUUUUUUUUAAAAAAAACAUUACUAUAGUUGUCAUAUAUAUAUAUAUAUAUUAAAUUUAGUUUUAUAGAUAUAAAUAGUAGGUAAAUAUCUA
rnacentral:sRNA from 1 species